rnacentral:lncRNA from 1 species
AGGAGAUGACCUAGUGAGGCUGAGAAUAUAAGUGACGAAACUAAGAACUUGUGCCCUAUGAUCAGCCUCUAUACAUGUAUAUAUAGCUGUAAAUAACUAGUUUAGGAAACAUGUUUUUCAAGAAUUUUCGAUAUUUGAAUCUUGAAAAAAUGACCAGCCUUCUGGCCUAUAUUAGUUGUUAGGUAGGCAUGCAUAUCCAUUUGGAAUUACCUUACAACCAUAAAGAUGUGAG